UUUGUUUUUGUGAUUGUGGCUUAUACAGAC
rnacentral:piRNA from 1 species